AAACCCGAUCGGCAGGGGUGGUGUGCCCGAUCGUGGUCGGGAUACCCGAGCGCUUACACAAUGGAGUGACCAAGGAAAACAGAACUGCGGGUGUGUUGGAUAACUUUAAGGAGGGUGAAAAAUAUGUGGAACACAUCGUAAGGAGAUUUGUACGCAACAAGUCUCCCGAGAUAAUGCCAUCCAUCAACUCUUUCUUUGCAGACCCAAAAUGAAGUACCUAGUUUUCUGAUUCAAGAUCAACCAUAUGCAUAUUGGUUGUCACAUUCACAUAUAUAUAUACUAGUAGUUUGAUCUUGAGAUUCAUUCAAGGUUAAUUUAUAAACAAAAUGUUGUCAGUGAAAUUUUUUGAAUUAAGAACAAUGCAAAUUUACUGUGGAUUA